UACGUAGGGUGCGAGCGUUAAUCGGAAUUACUGGGCGUAAAGCGUGCGCAGGCGGUUAUGCAAGACAGAUGUGAAAUCCCCGGGCUCAACCUGGGAACUGUUGUUGAUCUGCAUAGCUAGAGUACGGUAGAGGGGGAUGGAAUUCCGCGUGUAGCAGUGAAAUGCGUAGAUAUGCGGAGGAACACCGAUGGCGAAGGCAAUCCCCUGGACCUGUACUGACGCUCAUGCACGAAAGCGUGGGGAGCAAACAGG
rnacentral:rRNA from 1 species